CUCGUAGGCGGUUCGUCGCGUCCGGUGUGAAAGUCCAUCGCUUAACGGUGGAUCCGCGCCGGGUACGGGCGGGCUUGAGUGCGGUAGGGGAGACUGGAAUUCCCGGUGUAACGGUGGAAUGUGUAGAUAUCGGGAAGAACACCAAUGGCGAAGGCAGGUCUCUGGGCCAUUACUGACGCUGAGGAGCGAAAGCGUGGGGAGCGAACA
rnacentral:rRNA from 1 species